rnacentral:rRNA from 1 species
CCCGAGGAUGGGACUGCGACCUAUCAGGCUGUUGGCGGUGUAACGGACCACCAAACCUACAACGGGUACGGGCGAUGGGAGUCGGAGCCCGGAGAUGGGGACUGAGACAAGGCCCCAGGCCCUACGGGGCGCAGCAGGUACGAAAACUCCGCAAUGCGCGAAAGCGUGACGGGGGAACCCCAAGUACCGUUGGUCUUUGAUCGACGGCUUUUAGGGAGUCUAAGAAGCUCCCGGAAUAAGGGCUGGGCAAGUCGGGUGCCAGCCGCCGCGGUAAUACCCGCAGCCCAAGUGGUGGUCGCGAUUAUUGGGCCUAAAGCGCUCGUAGCCGGGUCAGCAAGUCCCUUGCGAAAUCGGGCGGCCCAACCGUUCGGCUUGCAAGGGAUACUGUUGGUCCUGAGGCCGGGAGACGUCUGAGGUACUCCGGGGGUAACGGUAAAAUGUUGUAAUCCUUGGGGGACCACCAGUGGCGAAGGCGUCAGACGAGAACGGACCUGACGGUGAGGGGCGAAGGCUAGGGGAGCGAACGGGAUUAGAUACCCCGGUAGUCCUAGCUGUAAAGGAU